GUUAGAAAAGAAACCUAGACCUUUUACUUUUUUGCAUCAAGGCCCUCUACCUUUAUUCGACAUUCAGUAGCAUAUUGAAUUCUUUUCGCUUCUUACCCAUUAUCAUUAUAAAUACAUAACACAGUAACCAAAUCUCACCCAAAUUCACAGUUGCCCCCAUAUAUUAUUUUUCUCCAGCUUGGAUGUAUAGAUGCCACAAUGUACACCCCUAACCCUUUCCGGCUCAGACCGACUCAGCACCAUGGCCACGGCCGCCGCCCUUAGAUCUGAGCUUGAUUCCAUAGUAGUCAACAUACCAUUUCACGAAUUUGCGGAGGCCGGUAGAGAGAUCGGUGGUGGGGUGGUACCCGAAGUCAUGCUGAGCCAGGCUAACAUUAGCAUGGGUGAACGGCACAUCGCCAUUGCUAGGCAUUUUCUGGACUUCCCGCUUUGCCUUCACCCCCAGUAUACCUUCAAGGAUUCCGACCAGCUUCGACACCGACACCGGCGAGGUAUUGCCGAGAUUGAAGAUCCUAAGCUGCGCCGGUCCACUCUUCUUACCGCCGCUUCCAGUGCUGGGCUUUGCAGUAUCUAGCGCACCAAUGCAACCCUUUACAACAUCAUCAAUGUAGGUGAAGUCGCGGCUGACUUGAGUUCCAUCUUUAGCCUCGUAGAUGGUGAUCGGCUUUCCGGCCAGGAUGGCCUUGGUGAAGAAGAAGUACGCCAUGUCGGGGCGGCCCCAGGGACCGUAGACAGUGAAGAAGCGGAGACCGGUGAUGGAGAGCCCGUAGAUGUGAUUGUAGGUAUGGGCGAUCGCCUCACCGGCUUUUUUGGUAGCAGCAUAAAGGCUGGCCGGGCGGUCGGUGCGGUGGAGCUCGGAGAAUGGGUUGGCAGUGUUCAGCCCGUAGACGGAGGAGGAGGAGGCCCAAACGAUCGCCGGCUGCGGAUCGGCUUUGGCAGCGACCUCGAAGAGGUUGACAAGGCCGGCGACAUUGGAGGCGAUGUAAGACUGGGGGUUCUUCAUCGCGUACCGGACGCCGGCCUGAGC
rnacentral:misc_RNA from 1 species